rnacentral:rRNA from 1 species
CCUACGGGAGGCAGCAGUAGGGAAUCUUCCACAAUGGGCGAAAGCCUGAUGGAGCAACGCCGCGUGGGUGAAGAAGGUCUUCGGAUCGUAAAACCCUGUUGUUAGAGAAGAAAGUGCGUGAGAGUAACUGUUCACGUUUCGACGGUAUCUAACCAGAAAGCCACGGCUAACUACGUGCCAGCAGCCGCGGUAAUACGUAGGUGGCAAGCGUUAUCCGGAUUUAUUUGGCGUAAAGGGAACGCAGGCGGUCUGUUAAGUCUGAUGUGAAAGCCUUCGGCUUAACCGGAGUAGUGCAUUGGAAACUGGGAGACUUGAGCGCAGAAGAGGAGAGUGGAACUCGAUGUGUAGCGGUGAAAUGCGUAGAUAUAUGGAAGAACACCAGUGGCGAAAGCGGCUCUCUGGUCUGUAACUGACGCUGAGGUUCGAAAGCGUGGGUAGCAAACAGGAUUAGAUACCCGUGUAGUC